GUGCUUUUUCAGAAUAAAUAUUCCUAAUGUGUUGGCGUUUGAGUAUUUGUGUAAUAUUCAACCAGAUACAGGUGCAUAGUGUAUUGGAACCCUGUGUUAAUACAAAAGCUACCACAAAAGCAUGUGUAGGUGUAACGCAAUGUCCGUUUUGACAGUGGUUGAGUUGAAGUGUCAAGUUUAUUUAGGUCAUGUAUCUUGUAUGACAGAGACCCAGCAGAGCAUAUAUAACUGAAGUAGGUAUAUUCUAAGUUUAGAAGCGCUCACUGUCCUCCAGUGCGAAUCACAUGGCAUAUUAUUCAGAGAGAGAACGUUUUUUUGUUUUUAAGAUUACUAAUGACAUCGUCAAUCAGGAAAGUUACUCCCAAGUCGCAACUCACAAGAGGGCAAACAGGUGACGCUGAGUAGCUGCUGAUGUCACGGGAUUAUAAAGUGAGCGACUUCAGCUCUGGUUUCAUUCAUUUCUUCUCUAACCUCGAGAUCUCACGGAGUUGCCCUUUUCGCUCACCGACAGACACGAAGAUGAAUAAGCUGUGUUUGGUUUACCUUGUUCUCCUGUUGUCUGUCCACCUUGCAUCAGAGGUGGUCGGCGACAACACGACGAGCGCUACGACCUCCAGCCCGAACUCCACGACGACUAAAAACUCCACGAACGUCGCGGGGACGCGCGAGCCGGUGACGCUGCUGCUGCUGCCGCUGGCGCUGGGGGCCACGCUGCUCCACAGCCUGCCGUGAGCGCCGGCGUGGCUCUGCAAUGGACACGCGAGUGGCGCGGCGGGGCGCAACGCCGAACAAGAGGUGUCAUUGCAAACACGUUGUGGAUUCUAGUCGGCGUUUGGAAAGAUGCGCUCUUUAAGGCACAAACCUCGGACGCGCCCUGCUGCUCUUUUCAGGGAUCGUCCGUGGGGAAACUGGAGUCGCUUUGAGGUGUGGGCCGACGUUUGCUUCAAUGGGCUAAGAAUUCACCACCACGAAUACUGUCUAUUGCUGAAUUUUGGAAAAGUUACAAAUUCUAGAAAUUGGAAUUUUAUGCAUUUUAGGUUUAAUUUGCAAACGUAUAAUAAAGCUUUAAAAUGAA